rnacentral:rRNA from 1 species
GACGAACGCUGGCGGCGUGCUUAACACAUGCAAGUCGAACGGUGAAGCGCCUUCCUUUUUGGUGGGUGUGGAUGAGUGGCGAACGGGUGAGUAACACGUGAGUAACCUGCCCCCUUCUUCUGGAUAACCGCAUGAAAGUGUGGCUAAUACGGGAUAUUCUGGGUCUGUCGCAUGAUGGGUCUGGGAAAGAUAUUGUUUCGGUGGGGGAUGGGCUCGCGGCCUAUCAGCUUGUUGGUGGGGUGAUGGCCUACCAAGGCGGUGACGGGUAGCCGGCCUGAGAGGGUGGACGGUCACACUGGGACUGAGACACGGCCCAGACUCCUACGGGAGGCAGCAGUGGGGAAUAGUGCACAAUGGGCGCAAGCCUGAUGCAGCGACGCCGCGUGAGGGAUGGAGGCCUUCGGGUUGUGAACCUCUUUCGCCAGUGAAGCAGGCCUGCCUAGUUUGUGGGUGGGUUGACGGUAGCUGGAGAAGAAGCGCCGGCUAACUACGUG